rnacentral:rRNA from 1 species
GUGGCAAGCGUUAUCCGGAAUUAUUGGGCGUAAAGCGUCCGCAGGCGGUUUUACAAGUCUGUCGUUAAAACGUGGAGCUCAACUCCAUUUCGGCGAUGGAAACUGUAAGACUAGAGUGUGGUAGGGGCAGAGGGAAUUCCCGGUGUAGCGGUGAAAUGCGUAGAUAUCGGGAAGAACACCAGUGGCKAAGGCGUCUCGUCGGGCCAUAACUGACGCUCAUGGACGAAAGCUAGGGGAGCGAAAGGGAUUAGAUACCCCUGUAGUCUUAGCCGUAAACGAUGAACACUAGGUGUCGGGGGAAUCGACCCCCUCGGUGUCGUAGCUAACGCGUUAAGUGUUCCGCCUGGGGAGUACGCACGCAAGUGUGAAACUCAAAGGAAUUGACGGGGGCCCGCACAAGCGGUGGAGUAUGUGGUUUAAUUCGAUGCAACGCGANGAACCUUACCAGGGUUUGACAUCCUGCGAAUCCCUUGGAAACUUGGGAGUGCCUUCGGGAGCGCAGAGACAGGUGGUGCAUGGCUGUCGUCAGCUCGUGUCGUGAGAUGUUGGGUUAAGUCCCGCAACGAGCGCAACCCACGUCUUUAGUUGCCAGCAUUUAGUUGGGCACUCUAGAGAGACCGCCGGUGAUAAACCGGAGGAAGGUGUGGAUGACGUCAAGUCAUCAUGCCCCUUACAUCCUGGGCUACACACGUACUACAAUGCUACGGACAAAGGGUUGCAAACUCGCGAGAGCUAGCUAAUCCCAUAAACCGUGGCUCAGUUCAGAUCGUAGGCUGCAACUCGCCUACGUGAAGGAGGAAUCGCUAGUAAUCGCAGGUCAGCAUACUGCGGUGAAUACGU